ACUAUGUAUCCAUUUGGAUAGAGCAAUAUGUACUGUACAGAAGGUGAUUUGUAAGAAGUAUGUAUCUAUUUGGAUAGAGCAAUAAGUAAUGUACAGAAGGUGUUUUGUAAGAAGUAUGUAUCCAUUUAGAUAGAGCAAUAAGUAAUGUACAGAAGGUGUUUUGUAAGAAGUAUGUAUCUAUUUGGAUAGAGCAAUAAGUAAUGUACAGAAGGUGUUUUGUAAGGAGUAUAUAUAUAUGUAUCUAUUUGGAUAGAGCAAUAAGUAAUGUACAGAAGGUGUUUUGUAAGGAGUAUAUAUAUAUGUAUCUAUUUGGAUAGAGCAAUAAGUAAUGUACAGAAGGUGUUACCAUUUAUGAUUCAACCACAUCAGUUGGAAUAUCAAUGAAAGCUUUUAAAGAUCAACUAAGGUUAUGAUUAAAAUUUAAACAGACUUCCUAAUUCUAUUACUGUCUGGUUGCCUAUACUAAGAGAAAAGCAUGCGAAAUACCGACAAUAAAUUUAAAAUGAUUAGCAUUUAAGAGCGACAAGAAGAAUUAAGCAUUUAACGUCAGAUGUCUUGAAUAACCGAGAUCUUAAGCUUACCAUUACACAUCGGACAACACUGUCCUGGAAUCAUUCUAGGAUUUGCACAGUAGACGCAGGCUUCUAUGCU